rnacentral:lncRNA from 1 species
UUAUAUGAUAGAAUUAUUUGACUUACAAUAGUUUUUGUACGAACCUUGUCCAAAGUAUUGAUACUUGAAAAAAUUACACAAGAACCCCAAAACUACACUUUCUAUGCAAUUUACCCCCAACCUAUCUUUUUCUCUCAUUUUUUUCUCCGAAACAAACUUUCUAUGUAAGUACCCCCCAAUGGAAAAAGUUCAUUUUUUUUAGACGGAAAUGCUCUUCUCGUACACAAAAAUCAUUUUUUCCAGAUCUGACGUUGACUUGUGGACCCCAAUAGCCGGACCGCCCUAAGACAAUUACAGGACGAAAACUAUGUACUACCGGAUCGCCCGCUACAUAGUUCUGGAGUCCUGGAAUCUAAUAACAUCUACUGCCAGACCGCCCUUUACAACUGCGGGACCGCAUUUUACAUGGUGUCGAAGACCUACUGCCAGACCGCACUUUAAACAGUGUCGGAGCUCUACUGUCGGACCACACUUUACAUAGUGCCGGAGCCCUACUGCCAAACCACAGUUACACAGCGCCGGAGACCCUAUUUUGGUGGGAUAGAGGAGAGAAGCGUGGGUAAGGUAAAAGUAAGGGACGGUAGUUUAGGUAUUUUUUUUAUUUUUUAUUUUGGUUGGGGGCAUUUGCAUAGAAAGUGUGUUUUAGGAAAAAAAAAGUGAAAGAAAAAGUUAGGUUGGGGUAAGUUUCAUAGAAUGUGUAAUCUUAAGUUUUUUUUGUAAUUUUCCCUUAACAUUUUAUAUGAGUGGGUUACGCAUGCCUAUUUAUAAUUGUUCUUAUAGUCAAUGGAUGCAAAGUUGAGGCUACUACUUUUCUCUUAGCCCUUGAUUCAAAUGAAGUUAUGUAGAAUUAAAAAACUUAUUUAAUUUUUUAUUUUGAUUUUCAUAGGUUCGAGUUGAUCGCUAUAUUUGGAGCGAGCAAAUCCAGGCUGAAAGAAGAAGAAUUUGUGAGAAAAUGUGGUUGUAAGAAAUUAUGGUGG